AUAAUUUGAAAGAAAAAAAAAAUGGGUAAAUUGAAUAGUUUGAUAUUUUCCAUUCUCUUAGUUAAGUUGAUAGCUUCAUCAGGUUUGCUUCAAAUCGAUGGAUUAAAUUGUUGCACGGAUAAUCACACUGGACGUUGUGUUCCAGGCAGUAAAGAUGAUACAAAAUGCCAUAAUAUUUGCAAGAAAAAUUGUAAGGGAGGUCAUUGCAAAGUCAUUGGCAAAAAGCCUCCUAAUCAUUUUUGUCAUUGUCUUUGUUAAUAAAUCUUUUUAAAUUGUUGCAUAAAUAAUAACUUUGGUUACUUAAUAAUUAUUUUCGAUAUAAUGAUAUUGGAGAGAUGAUUGAUUGA